GGAGGGCUGCAGCUUAGUGGUGGAGCACCUGGUUCACAUUGCGGAAGGUCCUGGGUUCAAAUCCCCGGCAUCUUCA